rnacentral:lncRNA from 1 species
UUUGAGAACAGAGAAAUUACUUUAUUGCCCAUGUCCAUGCAGGUGCCUGCAUCGACACCUCCACUCCCACCACACCAGCUCUCAAAUCUACCAGCCCAGCAGGUGCCAGCUUUCCCCCUUCCUCUUCUCUCAGCACCCAAAUGUUCCCUGUUUCCUAGCCCUUCCACUGUCCCUUCUCUCCUGAAGCUCAUGUGAGGGCAGGCAAAGAGGUGGGUGAAAGCAACUAUAUAGACAGUGCGGGGCUGCUUUGUGGAGCAUGCAAGGUGCAGCUCCAUCACGCAGGGGCAGGGAAGUGAUAAUGCUGCAGGCAUAAAAAGCGGCAGUCUCUGCUGAGAGCAGUCAAAAUGCCUGAGGAAAAUGAGGUUGUUUAGAAGGACGUGCAAAAGCAGCACCAGAUGGGAGAGGCAGAGAAGGACUAAGCAGCCUUUCCCCCGACACAGCCCAGGGCAAGGCUGGAGCAGAGCCCUGGGGCACAAAGCCAAGCUGCACACCACAUUGCCACCAGCAGAGAAAUGUGUGGUUUGGGGGGGGCUUCUUUCUACACUUCUUGAACUGUGAUCAGGCUUGAGAAGUCCAUGCCCAGCUGAUGCAGAGACAGCUCCCACUGUGUUGCUUGUUUCCCAUUUCUGGAAGAGGAGGAGAAAUAAAGGUAGGGAAGCGAAUGCAGUUGAUACGGUGUUCCUGUAUGGCCCUGAGUGCUGGCCUCUUCCACUGCCACAGUGCUCCCCAAGUAUCAGCUGCCUCCAAGCAUCCCUGGCACAUGCAGAACACUUGCUGUGUGCCACACUCGCAGGGUAUGAAGAGAGACCUUGCACAGGGACGUUCCAGCUUCUGGGCUGGUAACUGGUGAUGACCCAGAGCAUGGGCCUGCAGUGAAGCCCCUGUGCAAGGCUGAGCAGUGGGAUGCCCCUUCGGAGCCUGGGUUGGGGUUGGGUAACCUGAUGUGGUACCAGGGAGGCUGGUCCCCAACACCCCACAGCAGGGGAGGUGGGUGCUGUAUCUCCUGGUCCCACCGAGGUGAUGAUAUCACAGCCUAUGGUCAGGGUGAUGUAAUUUUGGCUGCAGGUGGGCAGGAGCCUGGAGUUUGGCUGGAGAUGGAAAUGGAAGGGGGAGUCUCAUCACUGCAGGGACCACAGCAGAGGCCUUUGAUUCAGGUUUCUCAUGUGCUAAAAAUACCAGCUUUCACGAGGGAAGGUCAAGUCUCUGAGGACACCUCAAGAUCACAAGCAAUAAGCUCAGAUAUGUUACCUUAAUACUUUCUUCUUACACAUCUGCUCACACAGGCUGCCCACUCUGUGCUCUGUUCUUCCCUCUUCUUUCUUUCCUUUCUUUCCCCAAAUCCUUCAAAAGGAAGAUUAGGCAGCAGGACUUUCUGAUGUCCUAAUCCUGCUUUUGUGGAGGCAGAAAGCAGUACAAAUACCACCUCACUGCUGCUAUCAAAAGGCUUACUUGAGCACAGUCAAAGUACACAGCUCCCAGGUGGUGCCAGCAUUUCCACAGAGCCCAUGGGGGACUUUGGUGACGGGAGCUGGUGGCAACAUGUGCCCCAAAUCACCCCUGUGAAACAGGGCUGGCCUCAGCAUUGCUCCAGGGGGUAGCUCUGCAGGCAGGGUGGACCUCAUCUGUCCCAUGAGUCGCCUCUUCUCUGUGUACAACCCCAAGCAAGACCAUACUGGCUGAUCUCAUGCAGUUGUUACCCACCUCAGCCUAAAUCUCUGGCUGAGACAAGGCUGAUGAUGGAGGCUGCAUUUCUUGCUCAACUGUCUCUCUCAGCUGCCCUCAGCCUGAGUCUCUCAAGUCUUAAAUGUUGUUUGCGCAGGAAAGUUUGUGUUUGAUUAGAUUUGGCCAUGGGUAACAACAGAGCUGUGGAAUGGCAGCCAAAGGGUUUCCCUAAGGCUUGGGACCACAGCAAAGUGGCUGGGCAGGUAAGCUGGUCGUGUUCCACCAAGGCAUCCCUUCCCAGCCUGCUCCAAAGUCCCCUUUUAGCUCAGCGCUGGAGCUCGGUUGUGCUGUAUCAGUGAUGGUUUUCUGUUUGUUUCUGGCAUGGGAGAGGCAAGGUGACAGCCUGGCCAGCUCCCCCAGCCUCAUCCCCAACCCAGGAGCACUGAGACCACUCGCCAGCACUUUUCCAGAGUUGAAGCCUUCCUAGUUGACUGGCAUCAGUCCUUCCACUUCAUCGUCACUUCAGGCACCAGCUCUGCUGUGUAACCAGCACAGGCAGGAGGAUAAUGUUUCAAUCAGCCCUGAGUGCUCUCCAGCCCAGGGCUUGCAGUGCCCAGUGGCUGGGUGGGGAAAGCAAGCACUGGCUUCCCUUCUGCUAUUUGCUCUGCAAAUAAAGGAUUAAAUGGGUUUCAUGUGGUGGGUGUGCUCCUGCGCAACCACAGAAACCACUUAGUGCUGGGGCUAGCUAGGAGUGGCUGAAGGUACACCAGGAGUCCCCAGCCUGGGGUGACCCUCCAUAUAGUUCCUCCAUGUCAGGAAAACAACUGAGUUUGCAAACUUAUGUCUGCAGGGAAGGCCUUUUAUCAGGCCUCUGUGGUGGGGUGGAGAUGGAGAGGGCUGCUUGCCCUUUGUGACCAGCUGCAGCACCCUGUCUGUGCCUGUGAAUAGUUCUUCUGUGCCAACACGGGUGGCUGUGCCAGCAGAGGAGAGCAGGCUUCUACAGCUCCUCUCCCCAUGUGCUACAGCAUAUGUCUACGUGUUUAAGUUUUCUGAGAUCAAUGAGGGUUGCUAAAGGUCCCAGACACCCCCGUGUCUCUUAUCUGAGGUGAGAAAGCAGUGCAAGCUACCCAGUCUUAACCCUCCAUCUGGACCCCAACCAUUUGGAGGACCCAAGGCCAACCUCCCUUAUCGCACAGCUGAGGGUGGCAAGGAUGCAGAGAUGGAGACAGAGCUGGGCGAAGGGAUGGAGAAAGGAAGAGCACUCAGGGUGUGCAAACCAAUCAUGAGCUGAGCAGGGGCCUGGCAGCACCAGACAGAGGUUACCAGCCAGAUAUGACAAUCAGCUUCUGAGCAGCGCCUCAGCAAAUUUCUCUGGUCUUCAGUGGAAGCAGAGAGGGAAAAGAGAUCUCUGAUAUCUGCACCCUUAGCUUUCAGCUUCAACUCAAAUGACCAGGAUGAACUCUUUCUGUACACCUGACUAUGAGUCUUUGCAUGUGAUGCCAGGUUUCACACUCAAUUGCCUUAAAUUGAAUAUAAUCACCACUCCCCUGCUCCCCGACUGGGGGCGAGGAGCAGAACUGGCAGACCCUGGUGAACUGAACAAAAACCAUUAAAGAAGAUUUGUCACAAUUGUGGCAAAUCUCAGCCUCCUGGUAUCUUGUUGGCAUCUAGAUGCACUUCCUAGGAGCUCAAAUCUUCUGCUCAGCAUAAUAGAUCCCCUUUUACCAAGAUGUAAAUCAGAGGAGCCAAGAACUUGUUUCAGGAAACACCAAGGCAAUAAACCCCAGGUUGUUUAUGUACACAAACAGCCGUGGGAUGGAACAUGCUUUUCUUAUUCUAGAGCUUCUUCUGACACAGCCAGAAAGGGGCAAUUAAAAUUGAACACCUGCAAAUAUACAGCAACACUUACAGCACAGGCCGCGUCACUCUAUCUGUUAUCCUGCAUUACAAACUCCC